ACAAACAAACAAACCCCCAAAACCUCAAGUUGUGAGAAAUCUGAAGAUCUCUGUUGGAUAUAAAAUUUCAGGAAUGUGUAUUUCAAGGUAUACGUGUGUGCAACUUUCCUUAUUUGUUUAUGCCCUUUUUUUCCAGACUUGAUAUGAGCCCAGGCAGAGGUUGGCAAAGCACUUUUGUAAAAGGCUAGAUGGUGACUAUGCAGGCCUUGUCAGCUCCAUGGUCCAACCACUCAAGUUUGAUAUCGUGAUUCUACACCAGCCGUAGAUGACACAAAGGGAGUGGCGGCAAAGAGCCUCAUACCAGUGACUUUACUCAUUGCUGUAACAAAAUAUUUGAAAAGAAGCAACUUAAGGAACGACAGGAGCAGCUUGAUCAAAGGAUCAAAACACAUCAGCAGACUGUGUCUCCAUCAAAACCACCCGUUUAGUAACAUUGACUUCCUUGCUGGCUCUGUUCCCAGACAAUGGCUACCAUAUCUGCAGCUGUUUCAACAUCUCUGUUUAGAUGAGGAAAGACGCCUGCGUGUGCAGACUGGCACCCUCAGCACUGAAAGCUACAAAAUCAAAAUAUCAAUCAAGUCUGAAAGACGUUGGUCCUGUCAUACCAAGUAUUCAGCCAAGAUUUAGUGCUCACGGAAAAGGCAUGCUGUGAAAACCAGACCUUGUGCAUUUGUGUCUUCAGCCUUUCUGCCUCUUACUUACCUGGGAGCAGUUACUUAAAAUCCCGGUGCCUCUAUGUUAUCUGUUUAAAGCAGCCACCGCCACUGCUGCUGCUGUUGUAGUCGUCGUCGUCAUCGUUGUCGUGGUCAUUGUGGUUGUUUUCGUAGUCAUCAUCAUCAUCAACAACACCAGCAUCAUUAUCAUCACGUGUAAAAUUUGGACAGAGGAACCCUGGGUCACAAAGGCAGGAGGCAGGAGGCAGGAGGCAGGAGCAAUACAAGUCUCAAACCACUACAGGAGCAGGACUCAAAAGUGGACCAUGCACAUGAUACAACAUUCUAAGACACAGACUUUUAUUUUCACCAAUCAAGAGAGAAAGGCCAAGGGCUGGUGAGAUGCCUCCAUGGGUAGAAGACCCUGCCACCAAGCUGGAAGCCCUGAGCUUGAUUCCCAGAACCCAUUUGGGAGAAGGAGAGAACCCACUCUUCAAGGUUGCCCUCUGAUCUACAUAUUUAACCUGUGGUGCCCUUGUGCACACAAAACAAAACAAAUAAUAGAAUUUUU
rnacentral:lncRNA from 1 species